rnacentral:rRNA from 1 species
ACAGCAGUAGCCACGGUAAUACGUAGAUGGCAAGCGUUGUCCGGAAUUAUUGGGCGUAAAGGGCUCGCAGGCGGUUUCUUAAGUCUGAUGUGAAAGCCCCCGGCUCAACCGGGGAGGGUCAUUGGAAACUGGGAAACUUGAGUGCAGAAGAGGAGAGUGGAAUUCCACGUGUAGCGGUGAAAUGCGUAGAGAUGUGGAGGAACACCAGUGGCGAAGGCGACUCUCUGGUCUGUAACUGACGCUGAGGAGCGAAAGCGUGGAGAGCGAACAGGAUUAGAUACCCGAGUAGUCCCUGUCUCUUAUAC